CCUACGGGUGGCUGCAGUAGGGAAUCAUCCGCAAUGGGCGCAAGCCUGACGGUGCAAUGCCGCGUGUGUGAAGAAGGUCUUCGGAUCGUAAAGCACUGUUGUGAGAGAAGAACAGCGAGUAGAGUAACUGUUACUCGUUUGACGGUAUCUCACCAGAAAGCCACGGCUAACUACGUGCCAGCAGCCGCGGUAAUACGUAGGUGGCAAGCGUUGUCCGGAUUUAUUGGGCGUAAAGGGAGCGCAGGCGGUGAUUUAAGUCUGAUGUGAAAGCCCAC
rnacentral:rRNA from 1 species